GUUUUUAGGAACCUGGAGGUGCUUCCCCUGGCAACAGCAUACAAGAUGAGUAAAGUCAAGUCAACUGUCCAUCUUGUGCAUCGUAAAGAAGAAGUAACAUUCAUCAGGAGAUUGACACUCCGAGAGAAAGCAUCCUGCAAAGUGUGGAUUGUUGGAGAUAGCUAUGUACGACGUGGUGAAAGGAGAGCAAGGGAGACGAUGGGGACCAACCUUGGAGCGUCUGCACGUGUCCAGUGGUUUGGCAAGGGAGGCAUGUGUUGGGAUGACCUA